rnacentral:rRNA from 1 species
AUGCUUCAAUAAGGUGCUCAAGGGUGCACGUGCAUACCCGUGACGGCAAUAGUUCAAUACACAUUUGACAAGAUGAAUGAAUACUUUUUGAAGCACUCAAUGGAGACUGAUAAGUAGAUUGCUAGUGAGAACAAGGAUAAGCACAAGUACAAUUUCCCACCAAAGGUUGAAGAAUGGUUGGAAUUUCAAUCACGAAAGGCAGACUCCGAAGAAGCUGUACUAUAUGACGACAAUGAGUGGAAGUAUGAGGUGAAAGAGCCCGGAGGAACCACAAACGAUGGCCGCCAACACGGAGGCCGGCCUUUCAAGGUCUCCCUAACACGGUGUGAUUGCAGCUGCAUGAGGCCGUCUUUGCUUCAUCUCCCAUGCUCGCACUUGUUAAAUGCAUCCCGGGUUAGGAAUGUGGACGUCAAUCACCCUCUUACCGUGAGGGAGUCUGAGUUCUCAAUCAUGAUGGUAAAGAAUACAUGGACUCCACGGUUCCAGCCAUACUUGGACCAAUCACAAUGGCCGGAGUAUCAUGGAGUUCAACUAUGGCCGGACCCGGAAUUGAAGGUCGCUAGCCAGGGAAGACAUAAGACAAAGCGUCUUAGAGGUGACAUGGACGGAUGGGGCCGUGGUGGCGGUGGAGAAUACGGCACCGGUUAA